rnacentral:lncRNA from 12 species
UUAGGAAUCCCCGCUCUCUCUCCCGUUCCCUUUGGGAUCAUCCUUUAGGAAUCCCCGCUCUCUCUCCCGUUCCCUUUGGGAUCAUCCUUUAGGAAUCCCCGCUCUCUCUCCCGUUCCCUUUGGGAUCAUCCUUUAGGAAUCCCCGCUCUCUCUCCCGUUCCCUUUGGGAUCAUCGCCGCCGCUCCCGAGCGCCGCCGGUGUCGCGGCCACCCCGCCCUGCCCCUUGUCGUGCGCUGGGAAACGCCCUCGGAGCCGCCCUCAGCCCGGCGCGUCCCCAAAUCCGGCUGCGACCGCUGGCGGUGGUUAAUUAACCGUGUUAAUUGCGCGGGGUCCGGCUGUGACCCCAGUGAUGUCCCCGUCCCUCAUCGUGUGCUGCGAAAUGGGUUCAGAGCUCCCUGGUGUGUCCCCAAAUCCAUCUCCAUGCGCUCCUGGUGGUUAAUUAAUCGUGUUAAUGAUUGUGCAGGGUCCGGCUGUGACCUCCCUGUCUAGCCACUGCCACCUCUCUCCAUGUUUUAGCUGGAAUCGUGGAAUGUGUUCAAUUCCCAGUCCAUCGUUGCUGUUUUUUAAUUAACUGUAAUUAUGUCUCCGCUGUCCCAGGGCUGUGGGAGCCCAACCCUCAGCCCGUCCCCUCCUCCAGCUGCUUGGACAAAAAUAAAUCUGGAUUCCUGCGGAAGCGCCAAGCCUUUGGGUUAACAUCGGGUUAAUAUUUAACCA